UAUUUUAUUCCUCUUCUGUUACUAUUUAUUAUUUUUUAACUGCAUCGUUGAGAAGAGAUCGUAAGCAAGCCUAUCACAGUGAAGUCUACACCAGUUGUAUUUGCCGCAUGUGACAAUUACAUUUGAUUGGAUUUGACUCAAACUGGAGCAAGAGAGAGACACAGCAUAAACUGAAACUGGAAGAGAGAGGAGAGGAGGAGAGACAGCAUGAACUUCAACUGUAAGAGAGAGAGGAGAGACAGCCGUCAUUGACACAACUGGGACAGAACGUGAGCUAUGGGAAAUACAGAAAAUGUACGUCCAGCUGGGAAUCAAGAAGGUUCUCAUCCCAUCCACGCUGUGUUUGCGUCCCGAAUGGCACCCUAUUCCCUUUGUAGUGCACUACUUUUGUGCACUUGCCAAAAGUAGGGCACUACAUAGGGAAUAGGGUACCAUUUGGGAAGCAUACAUUGUAACUUCUACCAGAAGACAGUAUCCUACCAGCAGACAGUAUCCUACCAGCAGACAGUUGCCCAUCCACUCUGUCAGGUAGACUCAGCUCCUCAGGCCGGCACUGGAGUGUGUCUCAGUGUGUUCUGCUAUGGAGAUGACCUCCACUGAAUACACCUAAAGGAAUAAAAAGGGGUUUAAUGCACCUACAAUGUAGAACAGAACACAAACCAAAACAGCAGAAGUUAAUACACCUACAGGAGUAAACAGGGGUUUAAUACACCUACAACACAGAACAGAACAACAGAGGAGUUUCAUAUACCUAGCGCACAGUGUUCUAACGUACAUUGUCCACUAGAUUGAGGUAUAGGCAUUGUACUGUCCAAGUGAACACAAGGCUCAAAAGAAAAGUUCACUUCUAUCCACUAAUUCAGUUAAUAAAAUAUCCUAAAUAUUGUUAUAUUGCAGGGAGGAUGUGACACAGUGACCCUGUUCACAUUAAUAAUAAUAUAUUAUAAUCAUGGAUGGGCCAGGCGGGCACAGAAGAGACUGGUGUCUCCGCUGCCAGAGCCCAGGUCCAUGACCACCUUCCCCCUGAGGGGGGCGCUGUUGGUCAUGGUGACCUGGCGGUACGCCUCCAUCCUCACACGAUCACUCAGCAUCUCCAGGUGAAGCCUAUGGGUCAGCAGAAACACAGACAACAAUAUUAACACAUUUACAUUACAGUCUAUGUUCCAAAAUGCAACUCUAUUUUCUUAAUACUGCACUAUAGGGAAUAGGGUGCUAUUUGGGACGCAUAUGGCCCUGGUCAAAAGUAGUGCACUACAUAGGUAAUAGGGUGUAAUUUGGGAUGUAGCCAUAGUCCUUUUCUACCUUGUAGAAAUAAAUAGGUACAUAUUGUUCUCUAGGAGAGAGAGAGACCAGGAGAAGCCAAACUAGUGUCCCAUAGUUGCCAAUGUACUCUUUAGCCUGCUAGGGGUCCUCUGAAUUGUCCUCCUCCACCUCAUUCAAACUGGUCAUGGCUAGAAAGGGUACAUCUUUUGUCAAAUUCAUCUAAAAAGUAUAUUUUUUUGUGUGUAUUUUAGCUAACCCUAACCCUUUUCCUAACCUUAACCCAAUUCUCUUAACCUGCUACAUUAAUUAUCCUAACCUGCAGAGUAAGUUCUCCUAAUCUACUAUGAAAUCUGACUAAAGCGGUAGCCUUUCUAAACAAAACCAUUCACACCUUGUUCACCAUGUUUCAGGUAACUGUCCUUCACAGCUGGCUGCAGGUAACCAGAUGAAAGGAAGCAACAGAGACCUAGCUCCGCCCACCACCAGUCAGCUGAUGUCUUGGUGUGGACCAGCAGCCCGUCUCUAGCACUGAAACUCAGCCGAGGAUAGAGACAGACAUACAGUUUAUACACAUCUGGGAUAUUGAUGAUUAUAGUAUGACAUGCCUUCUAAAGCACUACAAGUGUUUGAUAUGGUCCAUUAAAGCCACACCCUCAACGAGUGAGGGGGUUUUAAAAAGAGCAAAUGCAUCCAAUUACAUUUUCACAUUCUUUAUGAUACAUCUGUAGUUCUCAAGAAAAUACUUUCAAUGAGAGUAACAUAAAAAUGUGUAUUCUUUGUUUUGUUAUAUGGGGGGGAAGGUUAAUUAGGACAUAGGCAAACAGACUAUCCAGGUUACACUUCCACACUCCAUUCCCCCAGGGGGCAGCAGAAACCUUGUCGAGAUGCUAAGCCUGGUUGAUAAGCAAAUCAGCUGCUGCCAAUGAGGGUGAAUCGUCAGUCAGUGUCACAGCUUGAAAGCUGUGAGGCUGAUGGGUUGUUUGGUGACCAUGAGGUCAUUCAUUUGGUUUUGAUCUUGAGUUUAUUUAUGCUUUUUUGUAGUUUCAUUGUUUAUAUAUAUUUAUUUUGGUCAUCUUUGAAGAACUAAUAUUCCGCUUGAUCUGGCCGACAAGAUGUCAAGAGAGACAGAGCUGGUCCUGGACCUAAGAGGACCUGAGCCCUAGGACCAUGCCUCAGGACUACCUGGCAUGAUGACUCUUUGUUUUCCCCAGUCCACCUGGCCGUGCUGCUGCUCCAGUUUCAGCUGUUCUGCCUUUGACUAUUGAACCCUGACCUGUUCACUGUGAUUACUAUUAUUUGACCAUGCUGGUCAUUUAUGAACAUUUGAACAUCUUGGCCAUGUUCUGUUAUAAUCUCCACCCGGCACAGCCAGAAGAGGACUGGCCACCCCUCAUAGCCUGGUUCCUCUCUAGGUUUUGGCCUUUCUAGGGAGUUUUUCCUAGCCACCGUGCUUCUUUCUACACCUGCAUUGCUUGCUGUUUGGGGUUUUAGACUGGGUUUCUGUACAGCACUUUGAUAUAUCAGCUGAUGUAAGAAGGGCUAUAUAAAUACAUUUGAUUUGAUGAUUUCAUUUGAGAAAUUAUUGGUCUUCUGUUCGUUUAACAAACAUUGCCUUGUGCCUUAAUUCCGUUACCAAAAACCUCAUGAGGGAGGAUAAUGAAUUCAUAGAAGUAAUAAGUAAAGGUAGACUUACCAAUUAGUUCGUGUUUUUAGUGGUAUCAACUUUUUAUGAAUAAUUAAGUGAUUAAAACUCGUAAUUCUGUUCCCAAAUCACUAACGGAAUUACAGAAAAAAAUCUAACGGAAUUACUUCAAUUGAAUUGGCUACCAUGCAAAAUCAUAGUAGUCACAAACCACAGUUGGGUCACCUGCUACUGUCCUCCCUUCCACUGGCAUACUUUGUUCAGCUCAUAAAUGUUUUCUUUCUGUCGUCUGAUGGUUAAAGCAACACUGUGAAAACAGUCUGGACAACCGCCCGCACUCUCUCUUCUCUCUCUCCAGUUAAUGUCUCCUCUCUUACUGGACUUUGAAAAGUAGUUGAAAUUUGGUCAGUCGGCCCUGGCCUGACAAAAUCUGAACCAAUCAUGGACCUCUAUGUUUUACAAGUUUGGACAUCACAGUAGAGUACAGUACAGUACACUAGAGGGAGAUUUUACCGUAAUUCUGUUACCAAACAUUGCAUCUGCAAAGUUCUUCCAGUAAAUGUGCCUUUGUGAAAUUUUCUGUGUAAAUUGUUCAAAGUAAUCCUUGUGCAUAGAGUUGUAUGGUUUGUUAACCUUUUAAAUCAAUGGUUAUCAUUUGGCAUACAUUUUAAAGUAAAAAAUCUGAAUUAAAGCGUAAUUCCGUUACCAUGGAAUUACCUUUAACAUGA